rnacentral:rRNA from 2 species
UACGUAGGGGGCAAGCGUUGUCCGGAAUCAUUGGGCGUAAAGCGCGUGUAGGCGGCCAGAUAAGUCCGCUGUGAAAUCUCGAGGCUCAACUUCGAGCUGUCGGUGGAAACUGUCUGGCUAGAGUCCGGAAGAGGAGAAUGGAAUUCCUGGUGUAGCGGUGAAAUGCGCAGAUAUCAGGAAGAACACCCGUGGCGAAGGCGGUUCUCUGGGACGGUACUGACGCUGAGACGCGAAAGCGUGGGGAGCGAACAGG